GACGAACGCUGGCGGCGUGCUUAACACAUGCAAGUCGAGCGGGGACACGGGGCUUCGGUUCUGUGUUCCAGCGGCGGACGGGUGAGUAACGCGUGAACAAUCUGUCCCAGACAGGGGGAUAACAGAUGGAAACAUCUGCUAAUACCGCAUAAGACCACGACCCGGCAUCGGGAAGGGGUAAAAGGAGGAAUCCGGUUUGGGGUGAGUUCGCGUCCGAUUAGCUGGUUGGUGAGGUAACGGCCCACCAAGGCGACGAUCAGUAGCCGGUCUGAGAGGAUGAACGGCCACAUUGGGACUGAGAUACGGCCCAG
rnacentral:rRNA from 1 species